rnacentral:rRNA from 1 species
UAGGGAAUUUUUCACAAUGAGCGAAAGCUUGAUGGAGCAAUGCCGCGUGAACGAUGAAGGUCUUUAAGAUUGUAAAGUUCUUUUAUUUGGGAAGAAUGACUUUAGCAGGUAAUGGCUAGAGUUUGACUGUACCAUUUUGAAUAAGUGACGACUAACUAUGUGCCAGCAGUCGCGGUAAUACAUAGGUCGCAAGCGUUAUCCGGAUUUAUUGGGCGUAAAGCAAGCGCAGGCGGAUUGAAAAGUCUGGUGUUAAAGGCAGCUGCUUAACAGUUGUAUGCAUUGGAAACUAUUAAUCUAGAGUGUGGUAGGGAGUUUUGGAAUUUCACGUGGAGCGGUGAAAUGCGUAGAUAUAUGAAGGAACACCAGUGGCGAAGGCGAAAACUUAGGCCAUUACUGACGCUUAGGCUUGAAAGUGUGGGGAGCAAAUAGGAUUAGAUACCCUAGUAGUCCACACCGUAAACGAUAGAUACUAGCUGUCGGGGCGAUCCCCUCGGUAGUGAAGUUAACACAUUAAGUAUCUCGCCUGGGUAGUACAUUCGCAAGAAUG